rnacentral:ncRNA from 1 species
AUGAUAGAGGCGCGGGGCUUCAGGAGUAUCGGUUGACAUAAGGUCGGAACCAGUCAGCCGGGAAAGGGAAGACCGCCGAAGGGAUUCAUCCGUUCCGAAGGAUGGGUUUCUGGGCUGCCGCAGAAUAUGCGUCAGACUGUCACAGGACUGUGGAGAGCUAUCAU